CAUAAAGCCAUGAGGUUGCUUCUGGAAGGCUGAAAUUGCGCCAAAAAAAUUGUGAGAUGUUUGUGCUGUUUAGCAGGAGCAGCUGGCUUAUUUGGAAUAUCUGUCCAGCUCAAAAAUGGCUCCAGCGGUUAGAAACAGGUGAUGGCAUGGCAGAAUGGCUUUAUGGAAACUUCAAGCAUAUGACAGCUUAAUUUACUUCCACAAGACUGUGAGACCAGUUUGCAGGUGAUGCUAAAGUUAUCAGAUCUACAGCACCAGGUGACAUACAGCCAACACUUAGUGUCUAGCUUAUUGUCAAAAGAAAUGUCUGUGCCUCCUUUGUUAAAACAGAUCUAGCAAUGUGAAGCGAGGGGUCUUCAUCUCAACUGCGUCUGCUGACACCCAGGCUGCAAGUUGAUUUUGUUUUAUAUACAGAUCUUCAAGCACUGGACAAAAUGUCUACAUGAAACAUUUCUCCGUUACAUCAGCCCAGGUGUUUUUAACAGCUGGAGUACGUGUGUCUGUUUCAUGCAACUCUGCUGCUCUCACAACUCGUGUACCCAUAGAAAGGGAUUGUCCUUGGCGUUCCUGUUUCAACUAUAAACCUGGCUAUUUAAUAAAAUGCUAAUAAAGUGUUUCUGAUAUCUGUUCUAUUAAUAAAGCUGUGACUUAUCUUA